rnacentral:tRNA from 1 species
UCCCUGGUGGUCCAGUGGCUGAGAAUCUGCCUUCCAAUGCAGGUGACACAGGUUUGAGCCCUGUUCAGGGAA